rnacentral:lncRNA from 1 species
GGAAACUCCAAGAUGGUUAGAAAGCUGUGACCUGAUAAGAAUCUAUAUGGUUUGUUUGGUUGAUGCAAUUACAUGCAGAAGUUGUUUUGGUCGUUAUCAAUUGGACUUUCUAAGAUGUAUAAGAGAUUAACAGACACUUGAUUUUCUUUUAAGAAUUAACUUUUUUUUGCUCCAUUUGUGAUCACAUGGCAUCGUCACUGGGACUUGUAAAAGUACCUAGCUUUAUUUGUUAUCUUGGUUGCAUCUUACAAGGCGUUUAAAUUUUCUUGCUGGAAUUUUUAGAAUGGAUAAAGG